UACAUGGGGUGCAAACGUUUGCUCGGAAUUAUUGGGCGUAAAGCGCGCGUAGGCGGUUACUCAAGUCGGAUGUGAAAGCCCUCGGCUUAACUGAGGAAGUGCACCCGAAACUGAGUAGCUAGAGUACUAAAGAGGGUCGCGGAAUUCCCGGUGUAGAGGUGAAAUUCGUAGAUAUCGGGAGGAACACCGGUGGCGAAGGCGGCGACCUGGGUAGAUACUGACGCUGAGGUGCGAAAGCGUGGGGAGCAAACAGGG
rnacentral:rRNA from 1 species